UGUAACAUCUUUUUUUUUUUUUGUUGUUUAUAAUUUUAAUUGUAUAAGUUGGUUAAUUUGGGGUUGAACUUAAUAACCAACAACGUAAGUUUGAAAUAAAUCUUUUAACCCGUCACAUAUGAAGUUUGUGGUUUUUUUUUUUUUUUUUUUUUUUUUGGUCUUUUUGUGUUUUUUUUUUCUGUAAAAAAUCACCCAAAAUAAAUAUUCUUGUAUGAGAGGUUUUAAAAUAAAAAACAUUCUUGGGUAAGACCAACCAAAUAAAAUUACUCUUGUGAACCCGUAAAAAAAAAAAUUACUCUUGUGAAACGUCACUUGACUCAUAUUUUCGACGUUGACCUUAACACGUGACUUGCACGUGAUGUUUAAUGAGCACCCCCACCCGACCCCUUUUUUUUUUCCUUCGGUUAUUUCUUGGGUUCCCUCUCUUCUCCUCUGUUCUCUCUUCCUGUUUACCUCUUGUUCUCACUUGAAUAACUUGGUGAAUUUCCUCUUUUCUCUCUCCUGUUCUCGCCUCUUUCUUUUGUUUGGGAACAAGCUUGUUGCAUUUGCCCCAAAUUUCCCUCGUUAGGGUUUACUGUGAAGUACGAUGUCAGGUCGUCGCAGAGGUGGUGGACGAGGCGGUCGAAAAGGUGGUCGAAGCGUUUUAGAAAAGCUGAGGCUAUUUUACUUGGAUUUCAGCGUUUCUUGAUGGGCUUAGAGAUCCAUUGGACAAUAAUGAAACUCAUUCCUACCUAUUUGGUUAUGCUGUUGCUGAUUUGCUUUAUAAUUGGAAUAAUUGCUGGAAUUUAUUGUUGGAGUUAUUUAUUCCCCAUAGUAA